UACGGGAGGCAGCAGUGGGGAAUUUUGGACAAUGGGGGAAACUCCUGAUCCAGCCAUCCCGCGUGUGCGAUGAAGGCCUCGGUUGUAAAGCACUUUUUGGCAGGAAGAAGAGACGGCAUCGAUACCCCGCAAAUCGACGGUACCUGCAGAAUAAGCACCCACAUGUGCCAGCAGCCGCGGUAAUACGUAGGGUGCAAGCGUUAAUCGGAAUUACUGGGCGUAAAGCGUGCGUGCAGGUGGUUCGGAAAGAAAGAUGUGAAAUCCCAGAGCUUAACUUUGGAACUGCAUUUUUAACUACCGAGCUAGAGUGUCAGAGGGAGGUGGAAUUCCGCGUGUAGCAGUGAAAUGCGUAGAUAUGCGGAGUGAACACCGAUGGCGAAGGCAGCCUCCUGGGAUAACACUGACGCUCAGCGCAUCGAAAGCGUGGGGAGCAAACAGGAUAGAUACCCCUGGUAGU
rnacentral:misc_RNA from 1 species